UCUGCACUCUCCCAGUAUCUAUUUCCAUCAUUUGAAACUUUUAAUACAAAGAACUGCAUAGCGUAUAAUCCAAAUGGAAAUGCUUUAGAUGAAUCCUGUGAAGAUAAAAAUCGUUAUAUCUACAAGGUCUUGCUAUGUUGCCCAGGCUGGUCUUGAACUCCUGGCCUCAAGGGAUUCUCCCACCUUGGAUUCCCAAAGUGCUGGGAUUAUAGGUGUGAACCACCAUCCCUGGCCCUCUUCACAUUCUUGUAUGAAGAUUGAUUUGGGAAAAAUGCAUUUCAGGUAACUGACAAAAGAUAUAGGAUGAAAAAUAAUAUCUUUCAAAUGUUUAAUUUGAACUAAGAGAGCUUAUGCAUUGCACUUUCUGGAGAUUUGUAAUGUUUUGGUUUUGUUGUCCAUGUGACUACAAAAUAAUAUAUUUUUUAAUUAAAAAAUUUAAAAUAAUA
rnacentral:lncRNA from 1 species